UUUUAAAAUUAGCACUGUUAGAACUGCCUUGUUGUUCAAUAGUCCUGUCUUAUUUAUCCCAGCAGACUCUUAAUACAUGAGUUUGAUUAUUCCUGGACACAAAUAAAAUGGAUUUGUUGAGGAACAAAGCAGUUUUAUACAAUACUGACUUGUAGGAGGAUUGUGUUCUUCAGUUGUUUUUUUUUAUUCUUGUGCCAACCACAUUGUGGUUUUCAACAAAAUUUUAAUUUCAGAACAAGCUUUGUGAUUUUUAAAAAUCUUUCCCAACUUUAAAACAAACAGUGAAGGUUGAAAUAAGCUAGGAUAUUGCCUUUACUUCAUUACAAAGUGGAACUUAUUUGAAUAUGGAUGAACUGAAGCUCAGCACAUAAUACUUAAUUUUGGGGGUAAUGUGAGUUGCAGAAAAUAAAAGAAAAUUGAUUCUUAUACAUGGCAAGGAAAACCACAACCAGACUGCAGGAUGAUCUUUGGAAUAUGUCUUGUAUUAUAGGGAAUGAAAAACAAUCGGCAUUCAAAAGUAUAUAUUGAUUAUCUUGUAAAGCAAUUUGACAGUUCAGUCAAGAUUGACAGUUCUUUGUACUACAUAUAAUUAAUCAAUGGUAAUUUGAUAAGAUUUGAAUCAAAAUUCAAGCACAGAAUUAACCAUAUUUUUAGUAUCCAUCAAAAUUUGUGUGUGUUUCAUGGCACACAAGAUAGGCAAUGACUGAGAUGCUUUUUAUGUACCAAAUUUUAUAGUUUGAAUAAAA